rnacentral:rRNA from 1 species
UACGUAGGGUGCGAGCGUUGUCCGGAAUUAUUGGGCGUAAAGAGCUCGUAGGCGGUUUGUUGCGUCGGCCGUGAAAACCUGCAGCUUAACUGUGGGCCUGCGGCCGAUACGGGCAGACUUGAGUUCGGUAGGGGAGACUGGAAUUCCUGGUGUAGCGGUGAAAUGCGCAGAUAUCAGGAGGAACACCCGUGGCGAAAGCGAGUUACUGGUCCACUACUGACGCUGAGGAACGAAAGCGUGGGGAGCGAACAGG